AAGAAUGGAAACCAAAUCUCCAACUGACUAAGGUUAGUAAGACCUUGCACAACUUCGCAUGAAUGAUGAAGAAAAAAAAGGCCAAUAAACAUCAUCAGGUUCAGGGGCUAGCUCCGUGAUCCACUGUAUGGGGUUGAUUGAUUGUUGUAUGUGGAAAGCAAUGGCAGCUCCAUACCGAGAUUUGAAGGACACAAAGGCAGCCC
rnacentral:misc_RNA from 1 species